rnacentral:lncRNA from 1 species
CAAAGAAGCACGGGAAGAGUAGCCGAGCUUUGGGGCUUUCUUGUUGAGUCCGGUGUUGGAACAAAACUAUGAAAACAACUUUUGAGCAUAUGGAGGACGUGUAAACUAUGUGCACAGCAAAAUUCUCCAGCAUAAAAGUGGAAUGUGGUGUGUGCUUUGUUUCUGUUUUGUGCUCUUCACAUUGCGGUUCCCCCUUUUACUUUGAAACUAGGAUCGAGAGUGAACUUGUGAUGUUCAGAGGUUUGAGGGUCGUUCCUAGGUGAAGGUGUGUUCUAGACCUGACAAGGAGGAAUCUGUAGGUGAAAGCCUUGGGCGUGUUUGAGCCUGUUUCAUCUGGAAAAGGUUUUUGAUGGUGGUGAUGUUAGGUAGGUAGGUGUGUGUGUGUGUGU